rnacentral:tRNA from 1 species
CGGGCUGUGGCUGCUCGGGCAGAUCGCGGUGCUGCUGGCGCCGCUUGCCGUGGCGUUGGCCGGCACGCUGUUCCUCACCGCGCUGCUCGACC